UCUUACAGAUGAGCAAAGAAAGUGGUUUCUUGAGAUGGAAUCUACUCCUGGUGAAGAAGCUAUGAA
rnacentral:pre_miRNA from 1 species